rnacentral:rRNA from 1 species
GACGAACCGUGCGAACGUUAUUCGGAAUCAUUGGGCUUAAAGCGCGUGUAGGCGGAUUCGUGCGUCUGUCGCUGAAAUCCCCCGGCUCAACCGGGGAACGGGCGCGGAUACGACGAGUCUGGAGGGGCAUAGGGGGACCUGGAACUUCCGGUGGAGCGGUGAAAUGCGUUGAGAUCGGAAGGAACACCGUCGGUGCGAAAGCGAGGUCCUGGAUGCCUACUGACGCUGAGACGCGAAAGCCAGGGGAGCGAACGGG